UUAAUUGAAGCCAAAUAGAGGCUUAUCACUGUUAAUGAUAUCAUUGAGAUUUAUUCUCCAAUUAAG
rnacentral:tRNA from 1 species